rnacentral:rRNA from 1 species
CCUACGGGAGGCAGCAGUGGGGAAUAUUGCACAAUGGGCGAAAGCCUGAUGCAGCGACGCCGCGUGAGGGAUGACGGCCUUCGGGUUGUAAACCUCUUUCAGCAGGGAAGAAGCGAAAGUGACGGUACCUGCAGAAGAAGCGCCGGCUAACUACGUGCCAGCAGCCGCGGUAAUACGUAGGGCGCAAGCGUUGUCCGGAAUUAUUGGGCGUAAAGAGCUCGUAGGCGGCUUGUCACGUCGGUUGUGAAAGCCCGGGGCUUAACCCCGGGUCUGCAGUCGAUACGGGCAGGCUAGAGUUCGGUAGGGGAGAUCGGAAUUCCUGGUGUAGCGGUGAAAUGCGCAGAUAUCAGGAGGAACACCGGUGGCGAAGGCGGAUCUCUGGGCCGAUACUGACGCUGAGGAGCGAAAGCGUGGGGAGCGAACAGGAUUAGAUACCCUGGUAGUCCACGCCGUAAACGGUGGGCACUAGGUGUGGGCAACAUUCCACGUUGUCCGUGCCGCAGCUAACGCAUUAAGUGCCCCGCCUGGGGAGUACGGCCGCAAGGCUAAAACUCAAAGGAAUUGACGG